rnacentral:rRNA from 1 species
UACGUAAGGUCCGAGCGUUGUCCGGAAUCAUUGGGCGUAAAGGGUACGUAGGCGGAUAAGCAAGUUAGAAGUGAAAUCCUAUAGCUCAACUAUAGUAAGCUUUUAAAACUGCUCAUCUUGAGGUAUGGAAGGGAAAGUGGAAUUCCUAGUGUAGCGGUGAAAUGCGCAGAUAUUAGGAGGAAUACCGGUGGCGAAGGCGACUUUCUGGCCAUAAACUGACGCUGAGGUACGAAAGCGUGGGUAGCAAACAGGAUUAGAUA